AUUCUUUUGCGGCUCAUAAGCAUGAUGAUUAGAUUUUCAUGUGCACGUGUGAGAUGUGCCUCCUCAAGCCUUGUUAUGACCUCAGCACAUCCAGAUG
rnacentral:snoRNA from 1 species